rnacentral:rRNA from 1 species
CGGACGGGUGAGUAACGCGUGAGUAACCUGCCUUACACAAGGGGAUAGCCGUUGGAAACGACGAAUAAUACCCUAUGACAUAAACUCCUCGCAUGAGGAGCUUAUCAAAGAUUUAUCGGUGUAAGAUGGACUCGCGUCUGAUUAGCUAGUUGUGAGGUACGCCACCAAGGCGACGAUCAGUAGCCGGCUUGAGAGAGUGUACGGCCACAUUGGGACUGAGACACGGCCCAGACUCCUACGGGAGGCAACAGAU